UACAGAGGUCCCAAGCGUUGUUCGGAUUCAUUGGGCGUAAAGGGUGCGUAGGCGGCGCGGUAAGUCGGGUGUGAAAUCUUGGAGCUUAACUCCGAAACUGCAUUCGAUACUGCCGUGCUUGAGGACUGGAGAGGAGACUGGAAUUUACGGUGGUAAGCGGUGAAAUGCGUAGAUAGUCGUAAGGAAGACCAGUGGCGAAGGCGGGUCUCUG
rnacentral:rRNA from 1 species